GACGAAUGCUGGCGGCGUGCUUAACACAUGCAAGUCGAACGGAAAGGCCCUGCUUGCAGGUACUCGAGUGGCGAACGGGUGAGUAACACGUGGGUGAUCUGCCCUGCACUUCGGGAUAAGCCUGGGAAACUGGGUCUAAUACCGGAUAGGAGCCAUUUUUAGUGCGAUGGUUGGAAAGUUUUUUCGGUGUAGGAUGAGCUCGCGGCCUAUCAGCUUGUUGGUGGGGUAAUGGCCUACCAAGGCGGCGACGGGUAGCCGGCCUGAGAGGGUGGACGGCCACAUUGGGACUGAGAUACGGCCCAGACUCCUACGGGAGGCAGCAGUGGGGAAUAUUGCACAAUGGGCGCAAGCCUGAUGCAGCGACGCCGCGUGGGGGAUGACGGCCUUCGGGUUGUAAACUCCUUUCGCUAGGGACGAAGCUUUUGUGACGGUACCUAGAUAAGAAGCACCGGCUAACUACGUG
rnacentral:rRNA from 1 species